rnacentral:rRNA from 1 species
CAUGGUUUUUUUGAUAAUAAUUUAAGAUUUAAUCUGCUCAAUGAUGAAUUAAAUUGCCGCAGUAUUUUAACUGUGCAAAGGUAGCAUAAUAAUUAGUUUCUUGAUUAGAAGCUGGAAUGAAUGAUUGGACGAUAAAUUAACUGUCUCUUAUUAAUUAUUUAAUGAAUUUUAUUUUUAAGUAAAAAAGCUUAAAUUUUAUUAAAAGACGAGAAGACCCUAUAGAGUUUUAUAUUAAAUUUAGUUAAUUAAUUUUAGUAAUUAUUAAUUAAUUUAUAUUAUUUGAUUGGGGUGAUUUGAAAAUUUUAUUAAUUUUUUAAAAAUUUAAUUUUUAAUUUGAAAUUUUAUAAUCUAAUUUUUUAAAAUUAAAAUAAAUUACCUUAGGGAUAACAGCGUAAUUUUUUUUUAAAGUUCUGAUUAAAAAAAAAGUUUGCGACCUCGAUGUUGGAUUAAAAUUAAUUUUUGGUGUAGUGGCUAAAAGGUUAAGUCUGUUCGACUUUUAAAAUUUUACAUGAUCUGAGUUUAAACCGGUGUAAGCCAGGUUGGAUUUUAUCUUUAAUUUCAUAUUAUAUUUUAGUACGAAAGGACCAAAUAUAGAUUAUAUUAAUUA